CCUCGAUCCUUUCAUUCGCCGGCUAUUUCAACUACGAGGCAGGCAUUGCCGACCCAGACAGGUUCUUUGAAGUGCCUGAAUACUGCCCUACGUACAUCGAGAAAGAACCCAAACUGCUGGAGCUGUUGAAGUACAGUCAAGUUCUAUUUUAAGAACAUCGGCAGUUCCGUCCAGAUGACUUCCUGAACCUGACCGCUGACAGACUUGAUGUGUAAAAUCUUAAAGCGAAUAUAGAUCGCACAGCUUCCUGAAUUUUGUUCACUAUACCAUAUCAAAGCUUACAUAUAUUUUUCUUCACGUGAUACGACCUUUUCAACGAAUCACAAUCAUAUCCCUCCCGAUCAAAACAAAUUGUUGUAAGUGAUGUAAUGCCCUCGUCAGACUUUAAAGGCCCGCAUUUUGAAGCAGUUCCAGUAAUUACCCCUUAGGGGAUACAUUUAUUUGCACUAAGUGAAAUUAUUCCCCUCAUGGUUCAUUAUUUCUUACUUUAGCCGUGAACGUGAUAGUAAAAGCAGGGAAUAAUUCUACUUGAAUUCUAAAAAUUCACAUUUUUGCAUAAUAUCAAGCAAUACGCAAUUGAGGGAAGAAAGUGAAUGUUUUUCCUAAAGCACUUUUAAAAAGUCCUGAAAAUUGUUUGAGACAAGUGAAAUGAUGGGCUGUGGCACUGUACAGAGGGUGUUUACUUACUCUUCGAAAUACUACCAGACGAUUUCCGAGACAAGUAAAAUUAUGGCGUACAAAAUUAACAUUUAUCCCGAAAUAGAUAUAUCUGUAUAAGAAAUAGAGAUAGCUCUAUUUUACGAUUCGAUGUAAACUUUGUUCGACUGAAAAAAAGAAUCUCUAUUUCGGGAUUAAAUGUUAAGUUUGCUAGCCAUAUAAAAGUACUCAAGCUAGUCUCAUGAACAAAAUACUCAGAUUUGGUUGGAAUUCACCCCUUUAGGCCUAUCUAUUUAAUGAUUACUAGGCCCCGUUAGACAGAACUGAAACUCUAUUGUGGGCGAUUGUACACCUAGUGGAAGGAAUUUCGAAAUUUUAUGAGGGACCAUCUCUAUGUGUGAAGGUUAUGCAUGUAGACAAUGCGUGGCUUUUUGUAUUUAGAUCUCUCAGUGCUUUCAUUUUGAAACAUCGUUAUUGAGUUUGAAUUCCUAGUGGUGCUAGGUAUCACAUAGCUCAGUGGCAGAUCCCGGGAAUUAACAAAAAUUAUUAAAACAGAGGGACAGAGGGGGAAGUGUCCCUGCAUGUUCCACUGUCCUCCUUUCUUGGCUUUUAAAUGUUUUUCGCUGUAGGUGCUACACAAAAGGUGAUUAAAUAACACUCAUUGGAAAGCAAAGCAAUCCCCGUCUCGCAUGAGUCAAUGGAAAAAAGAGUGAUUCUGAAUCCGAAACAAUGUUUUAGUCAUUCAUCUUCAAGCUGAUUAAAACUUGAAUUUUGGAUCCGUUUUAUUUUAAAGUCAGUCGUGAUACUGGAUGGAGUGAACAAUGGUAGGUGAACAGUCAUCAAAUCAGUGAUGAAGAAAUGGUUCAUUAUACAAAAAGGGAAUGACAAAAUGAUUCUAGUACCAGCAAGAGGCAGUCCAACUAAAACCAUGUUCAUAUUGGAAUGCAAGGUAUUUUUCGCUCAAGAUGAAUUCCAAUUCAAGUCUUUGUGAUCAAUAUAAAUUUGUCUUGUCUGUGGAACAGUUGACAGUGACUGAGAUGGUUUUUAUGUGCGUAAACACAUGUUAAAGAACAUCUAACCAUCUGGAAUCACGAAUACCAGAGCAAGCAUCCUUCCUCUUGGGUGUGCCAUAAACUCAACGUAUGUUCUGCCAGGAUAAAUGGCCUAAUGGACGGAAUCAAAGUUAUUUCCUGCGGUCUAAGAUUACUUACAGCCCGAGAUCCACCUUGAUUAAACUUUGGAUUGUUUGCCCUUGCUUUCA